rnacentral:rRNA from 1 species
AUUGAACGCUGGCGGCAGGCCUAACACAUGCAAGUCGAACGCGUGGCGGACGGGUGAGUAAUGUCUGGGAAACUGCCUGAUGGCGGGGGAUAACUACUGGAAACGGUAGCUAAUACCGCAUACCAUCGGAUGUUCCCAGAUGGGAUUAGCUAGUAGGUGGGGUAACGGCUCACCUAGUCGACCAUCCCUAGCUGGUCUGAGAGGAUGACCAGCCACACUGGAACUGAGACACGGUCCAGACUCCUACGGGAGGCAGCAGUGGGGAAUAGUGCACAAUGGGCGCAAGCCUGACGCAGCCAUGCCGCGUGUAUGAAGAAGGCCUUCGGGUUGUAAAGUACUGUUAGCGGGGAUGCGUUACCUGAAGAAGAAGCACCGGCUAACUCCGUGCCAGCAGCCGCGGUAAUUC